GAUGAACGCUAGCGGGAGGCCUAACACAUGCAAGCCGAGCGGUAUUGUUUCUUCGGAAAUGAGAGAGCGGCGUACGGGUGCGUAACACGUGUGCAACCUGCCCUUAUCUGGGGGAUAGCCUUUCGAAAGGAAGAUUAAUACUCCAUAAUAUAUUGAACGGCAUCGUUUAAUAUUGAAAGCUCCGGCGGAUAGAGAUGGGCACGCGCAAGAUUAGCUAGUUGGUGAGGUAACGGCUCACCAAGGCGAUGAUCUUUAGGGGGCCUGAGAGGGUGAUCCCCCACACUGGUACUGAGACACGGACCAGACUCCUACGGGAGGCAGCAGUGAGGAAUAUUGGUCAAUGGGUGCAAGCCUGAACCAGCCAUCCCGCGUGAAGGACGACUGCCCUAUGGGUUGUAAACUUCUUUUGUAUAGGGAUAAACCUACCCUCGAGAGGGUAGCUGAAGGUACUAUACGAAUAAGCACCGGCUAACUCCGUG
rnacentral:rRNA from 1 species